UACGGAGGGGGCAAGCGUUAUUCGGAAUUAUUGGGCGUAAAGGGCGUGUAGGCGGCUUCGUAAGUCCUAUGUGAAAGCCCUCGGCUUAACCGGGGAACUGCAUAGGAAACUGCGGAGCUUGAGUUCGGGAGAGGAGAGUGGAAUUCCCAGUGUAGCGGUGAAAUGCGUAGAUAUUGGGAGGAACACCGGUGGCGAAGGCGGCUCUCUGGACCGAUACUGACGCUGAUACGCGAAAGCUAGGGGAGCAAACGGG
rnacentral:rRNA from 1 species